GUUGAUUCGUGUGUAUGGUGUAAAACAAAGGUCCAACUUUAGGCUUCUGUAUGCGGCUAUCCAGUUUUUGUAUCAAAAUUUAUUGAAGAAAACACAAAAUCCUUUAACCAUUUUGUCAUUUUCAUGGCCUCAUAAAAUUAUUGGCUGUAUACACUGAGUUUAUUUUGGAGCUCUUUAUUCUGUUCCAUUGGUCUAUGUGUCUGCUUUUUAUGUGUAUAUAUUCCCUUCAUCUGAACAUUGGCUGAAGUUGGUAACUGCCUCAUCUAAUACAAGGCAGCAGAAGCAAUGCUAUGGGACAUCCAAGACUGGAUUAUAAAAGACAGUACAUGUUUUUUCUCUCUCUCUCUUUCUCUUUUUCUCUCAUCCUUACUUCUAUGGCUUCAAACUUUUUUAUCGUGUUACUGACAUAUUCUAUUUUCUUAAAAAUUUUUGUUCUACAUUUCAAAGACGUAUUAAAAAUAUCUCAUUUUGGGGGGAGGGGAGAGGGAUAGCAUUUGGAGAUAUACCUAAUGUUAAAUGACGAGUUACUGGGUGCAGCACGCCAACACGGCACAUGUAUACAUAUGUGACUAACCUGCACGUUGUGCACAUCUACCCUAAAAUUUAAAGUAUAAUAAAAAAAUCUCAUUUUUAAGUUGGUCAAUGUAUAUGUUUUUACAGAAG
rnacentral:lncRNA from 10 species